rnacentral:rRNA from 2 species
UAGGACGACCAUAGUGGCUUGGAUACACCCGAUCCCAUUCGAACUCGGAAGUUAAGCAAGCCUACGUUCCUGGUUGUACUGCACUCGGUUGUGGGAAGCCAGGAAAGUUGUCCGCC